rnacentral:rRNA from 1 species
UACGUAGGGUGCGAGCGUUAAUCGGAAUUACUGGGCGUAAAGCGUGCGCAGGCGGUUUGUAAGUCAGAUGUGAAAUCCCCGGGCUUAACCUGGGAACUGCGUUUGAAACUACAAGGCUAGAGUGUAGCAGAGGGGGGUGGAAUUCCACGUGUAGCAGUGAAAUGCGUAGAGAUGUGGAGGAACACCGAUGGCGAAGGCAGCCCCCUGGGUUAACACUGACGCUCAGGCACGAAAGCGUGGGGAGCAAACAGG